GGCGAGCUGAGAGUCUGGUAUUGUCGGUAGGAGCGAUGACGCCAUCUUUUUCUGGGUCUUCAGAGCGGUUGCAAAGAGAUGCCCAGAUGGAGAGAGGCCCAAAUCAUCCAAGAGAAUUAAUAACAAAAAGUAAUCUGUUUAAGACCUGACUCCUUGAAAAGCAGUGGAAGGAGCACAGAGAUGCCAGCUGCCUGUAAAGUACCUAGAGCUCCUCGGAGAAUUGAGUGGCCAGAGACACAAGGCUUUGCUGGCGAAUGAGAAUUGGAGGUGGUGGAAAGGCAGACAAGAAGAUGUACGGUGUUUACUAGUGCGUUCAGAGUUGAGGUCUUGCUUUGCACUGCCCUAGCUGUCCCCGCUCCUCCAUCUUACCUCCUAACACUGGGGACUGUUUGCCUGCGGAGCCAUCUGUGAUACUAGUUUUUAUUGAUGGGUAGAACAUGGGAUCACAUCUACAAAGUUCUGGGUUGUGUGCAAUCAGUGGAUGGGAGUGUUUAGUCGUUGGUCUUGUUGGGUUUAAAAUGUGAAUGGAAUUGGUGAGAACUUUCAGUGGUUCAGAGAAUCUCUACUGGGAUUGUGACACUGUCCAGUGAACAGGACAGCAUGUGAUGUGGCCUGUAAGAUUUGGUAGGUGCCAUAUUUCCUUACCCAGUGGGUAUUACUGUAAAUGCUGCAAUAAAUGUUCAGUUGAAACAGC